CUCAUAACGAGACCCCAGUCAGUCGACCUCCC
rnacentral:rRNA from 1 species